rnacentral:lncRNA from 1 species
UCGUGUCUCCGUCUUGGUGCCAGUUUUGGUCGAGAUCCCCGGGCGCGCUCACCACGCAACCGAACCCGUACCGCCCGUCGACGCUCUUGAUGCUCCUGACUUUGUCCACGCCGAGGAGGUGCUUCACGAGAGGCACCCACGGCGCGUCCUCCGGUCCGAACGGCAACACGGUUUUCAACGCGGAGGUCACGUCGAGAUCGACUCUCCCGCCGACUCUGGUGUGGAAACCCGGAUACGCGUCGCCCAAGGUCUCGUUCGCGUCGUACGUCAGCAGCUGCUUCGCGUCGCCGCGCAUCGCGGCCUCGCGCAGCGUCUUGGCGUACUCCGCCCAGCACGCGGCGACGACGCGACCGUGAUCGAUCGAUGGAAACGACUCGCGUGCCGCGGUCAUCUUCCCGUCUCCGCGCUUCUCGGCUUCCCACAGACCUGCUUCCCACGCUUCCCACGCCUGCUUUACUUCCGCCCCCCCCGCCGCCCCCCCCGCCGCAGACAGGUGAUCGAACCGCGUCAAGAACUUCUCACCCUCCUCCUUCGUGCACCUCGCCACCUCGCGUUCCCACUCGAAGAGGAUCUUCAGGUGGCGCGGCGUGACGUGGAUGAAGCCAUCGCGCUCGAACCUGAGGGAUAUCGCGCCCACUAAGUAUGGCAGGGCUAAGACGAUCGCAUCCGGCAGCCCGCGUCGUACUACUUCUGGCUCCUGCAUCGCUCCCGCGCGCGCGACGUUCGGUUGUGGCGUCGUGCGAAGGAGUCUCGCGAAAAAUAUUUGUGAGGUAUUAUUAAAUUAGACCCGCCAGACCGAUGACG